AUGGAAGCUCGCACUGGCGCAGCACUCCUCCUCGCCGGCCUCCUUGCUCUUGCAACCAUCGCCAGCAGCAACACUGAAGGCGACAUCCUUUACAUGCAAAGGCGGGCGUGGAAGGACCCCAACAAUGUAGUGCAGAGCUGGGACCCCACCCUUUUCAACCCCUGCACUUGGCUCCAUGUCACCUGCAACAGCGACAACUCUGUCACCCGAGUGGAUUUGGCGGAUGCAGGCAUCUCAGGCACCCUGAUCCCUGAGCUGGGAGGACUGAAGAACCUUCAGUACCUGGAGCUGUUUACGAACAACAUUAGUGGAUCCAUACCAACAACCCUCGGCAACCUGACAAGCCUGGUCACCCUUGAUCUCUACGACAACCUUCUCACUGGCACGAUACCGGCCUCGCUUGCCAACAUCAGGAUGCUGCGUUUUCUGUACGAGUCUUGCUGCAGCAAUUUUCAGUUGAAGAGAUGCUAA
rnacentral:rRNA from 1 species